rnacentral:rRNA from 1 species
GAUGAACGCUAGCUACAGGCCUAACACAUGCAAGUCGAGGGACCGGCGAAUGGGUGAGUAACGCGUAUCCAACCUGCCCCGCGCCCGGGGAUAGCCCUUGGAAAUGGGAUUAAGACCCGAUAACGCGGGAUGGGGAUGCGUUGGAUUAGCCAGCCGGCAGGGCAGCGGCCUACCGGGGCGACGAUCCAUAGGGGUUCUGAGAGGAAGGUCCCCCACACUGGCACUGAGACACGGGCCAGACUCCUACGGGAGGCAGCAGUGAGGAAUAUUGGUCAAUGGGCAGAGCCUGAACCAGCCAAGUAGCGUGCAGGAUGACGGCCUACGGGUUGUAAACUGCUUUUGCGGGAGAAUAGGUAUCCCGUGAAUAAGGACCGGCUAAUUCCGUGCCAGCAGCCGCGGUAAUACGGAAGGUCCGGGCGUUAUCCGGAUUUAUUGGGUUUAAAGGGAGCGCAGGCGGAGGAUCAAGCCAGCCGUGAAAUGCGGCGCUCAAGCCGUCCGGCGGUUGGAACUGGUCCCCUUGAUUGGGGAGAGGAGGCGGAACUCGUGGUGUAGCGGUGAAAUGCAUAGAUAUCACGAAGAACCCCGAUUGCGAAGGCAGCUUCCGGCCGUAAAUGACGCUCAUGCUCGAAGGCGCGGGUAUCAAACAGGAUUAGAUACCCUGGUAGUCCGCGCGGUAAACGAUGAAUGCUCGGGAUUCGGGAGUCCCCCAGCGAAAGCGUUAAGCAUUCCACCUGGGGAGUACGCCGGCAACGGUGCAACUCAAAUGAAUUGACG